UAUCUCCGACACGGCUACAAUCCGCUACAUCCGCUACAACUGCUGUGCACUAUCUGCCCUCAGCUACCUUCCUCAUCGUAUUACCACUAUGCAAUCAUGAUUAACUAUGGUGUCGUCCUGCCGUUGUGUGUUGCAUCGUUGAUGGCUGGGUCGACCAUUGGUGUUCCGAUGUCUCCUGGGUAUGGUGAAUUCCAAACUGCAACGCCGCCGCCUUACUACACAUCAACAACAUACGCAAUAACCGGUUACUACACCACCAAGGUUCCAGACUAUUACACCACAACUUUUGAUGCCCCGAGCUGCAUCACCAAAGUGUCGUAGUACUUCACCGAGGCUCGCAAUUACUACACCACUAAGGCACCGGAAUAUUACGUAUGCUGCCGCUGCCUACUACACCGAGGCUCCUAAUUACUACAAAACCCAAGCGCCCAAUAAGCUAUGGCGUUGUGCUGCUGUUGAUUGUUGUCUUCAAAUACCAGACCAUCGAGGUUCCAGAAUAUUACACUACAACUUAUGCUGCCCUGAACUGCAUCACCAAAGUGCCUGAGUGCUACACCAUGGCUCCCAAGUACGACUACGUGCGCUGCCCCAACUUGCUAAAUCGGGACUCCUAAGUAUUACUCUGCUUCAGUUACUACAUCGAGGCUUCAACUUACUAUAUCACCAAAACUGCUGAAUACUAUACCGAAGUGCUAAGUACUACACCACCAUGCUAGAGAAUAUUACACCACAACUUAUGCUGUCCUAGCUACUACUCCGCAGCCCAGGUUUAUUAUACUACACCGAGCCCGAUUAGAUCACUAUGGCCCUGGAGUACUACACCACAACCUACGUUGCCCCAGCUUACUACAUCGUGGCUUCCAAGUACUACACCACCAAGGCACC